AGAUGUUGACAUGCAGGGACGCAUGCAAUUAAUGGGGGGGAGGAUGUAACCCACAUGUAUAUGUGUGAUACUGUUAGUAGUAUUUUAUUUCUGUAGGAUUUUGUUUUGUUAUUUAAUGUUCCCAGCAAUUCAGUUUAUAUUUUCAUUUUGAGUUUUCUUGUCAUACCAGAAACCGCCAGCAGGUGGCUUGUGAGUUACACUCUGGUUUAGACAGCGGAAAAUUAUUAGAAGAAGAAGAAAACCGUAGCUGGCUGUAGCACGUUGUGGGAAUUACUGCAUGCUAUAAGAUAAAUUAUUGAUCAAUUCCGGUAAGGAUUAAGAGAAAAGAAGAUCCGUGACCUGAUCCCUGGCAGUAAAACACAUUUUUACUGUGAUUUUCUCUGGUGGGUUUUUUUAGAACCCCAUUCAACUUUGAAGACUGUCCAGCUGCACAGCAUCGCAGGCCUGGAUUGGAUUGCUGAGCUCCAGGUUUCAACCCAAGACCUGGGACUGCUGGAUCCGCUGCCUACUUUGCACUGGAUAAGAUAAGAUUUUGAAUCCAAAGAAACACAUGGCCAUUUAACAAAGACUUGACUGACUGACUUAAAUUACUGAACUAAAACAAAACAAAACUUCCAAAGGACGAACUGAACUAUAAGGAAUCUGAACCAAAAGAAAAUACACUGCCUGAUAUAAAAAAGGUGGACACUUUAUGUUGGGAAAAAGAACUGUACAGUAACAUUCUGUUUCAAGUUGUAUUAAAUAAUCUGUUCAUUCUUGAUAA